rnacentral:rRNA from 1 species
GACGUAGGGCGCGAGCGUUGUCCGGAGUUAUUGGGCGUAAAGAGCUCGUAGGCGGCUUGUCGCGUCGACUGUGAAAACCCGCGGCUCAACUGCGGGCCUGCAGCCGAUACGGGCAGGCUAGAGUUCGGUAGGGGAGACUGGAAUUCCUGGUGUAGCGGUGAAAUGCGCAGAUAUCAGGAGGAACACCGAUGGCGAAGGCAGGUCUCUGGGCCAUAACUGACGCUGAGAAGCGAAAGCAUGGGGAGCGAACAGG